UUUUUUUUUUUUUUUUGGAUUGGGUAUAGAUUGAGGAUUUUUUUUUUACAUUUAUUUUAUUGAAGUAUAGUUGAUUUAUACUGUUUUUUGGUUUUUGGUUUUGGGGGGUUUUUGCCAUUUCUUGGGCUGUUCCCGUGGUUCCCAGGCUAGGGGUCUAAUCGGAGCUGUAGCCACCAGCCUAUGCCAGAGCCACAGCAACGCGGGACCUGGGCCGUGUCUGCAACCUACACCACAGCUCAUGGCAACGCUGGAUCCUUAACCCACUGAGCAAGGGCAGGGAUAGAACCGGCAACCUCAUGGUUCCUAGUCGGAUUCAUUAACCACUGCGCCACGACGGGAACUCCUAUACUGUUGUAUUAAUUUCCGCUGAAUAGCAAAAUGAUUCAGAGAUAUAUAUAUAUGUAUAUCUCCACCCCACAUUCCUUUCAUAUUCUUUUCCAGCAUGGUUUACCACAGGAUAUUGAAUAUUGUUCCCUGUGCCAUAGAGUAGGACCGUGUCGUUUAUCGAUUCUACACAUGAUGUUUGCAUCUGCUAAUCCCAAACUCUCAUCCUUCCUCCCACUUGGCAAUGACAAGUCUGUUCCAGAGAGAUCCAAUUUUUAAAAUGUCAUGAGCUUGUUUUAUUUAUAUGUUCCUAGGUAGAAUUUGUACCACAAAUGGUCUGCAUAAUUAUUAGUGACUUCUAUAGUCUUUAGCAUAGUUUUAGGUUCACAGGAGUAUUUAAGAAUGACUUGUCAAAUGAAUAUGUAUCUUGGAUCUCUACCAUUUUCUUAUUAGCAAAAUAAAUUAGGCAAAAACAGGUAAAUAACAUUUGUGAUAAGGUAAAAUGCCUGUAACUGUAUUUCUCUUGCCUGCUGAUGUGAUUGCAGCAAAUGAGGAAGGCAAUGGAAACAUGAGAGGGGUGGGGGACAUUUACAACAACCUGGUUCAACUGUCAAUCAACAUGCCCAGAAUCUGUGUAAAUAACGUACAUGCAAAUAUAAAUUUACUGUGAAAACUGAAGAAAUUAACAGGAGUUCCCCUCGUGGUUCAGUGGUUAAUGAACACGACUAGGAUCCAUGAGGAUUCGGGGUGGAUCCCUGGCCUUGUUCAGUGGGUCGAGGAUCCAGCGUUGCCCUGAGCUGUGGUCGAAGACGCAGCUCAGAUCUGAGGUUGCUGUGGCUGUGAUGUAGGCCAGUGGCUACAGCUCCAAUUGGACCCCUAGUCUGGGAGCCUCCAUAUGCCACAAAGGAGGCCCUAAAAAAAACAAACAAAUAAAUAAAUAAGAAAGAAGGAAAUUAACAAAACUAAAAUAACUCCUAUUUAAACGUAAUUCAGGGAAUUCUCAAAAGAAUUUUUUCAAUAGGAAAACACUGCCCUUUUUUUUAUAAACACUGCCAUUUUUAAUCAUUAAAAGCAUAUUUUGAAAGUUGAGACAAGUAAGCUUUCCAUCAAAUUUUGUUCUUUAAAAUAAUAGCUUUAAGAUGUGUAUUAGUUUUAUAAUAACAGGUACAAUUUGGCGAAUAGAUAUAUUCAUUUACACACAUCUAAGAUGUCUCAGGAAGGACACAUGGGAAAAUAACUUUGGUGGCUUCUAGGUAAGGGCAUUGAGUAGCUAGAGGACAGUAAUAGGGAGAGAGACUUUUCACUUUUUUUUUUUUUUUUUUACUUUCUGAAUUUUGAGUCACCUUAAGGAAUACCCAGUUUUAAAAUAAAAGUUAAAGAGUGAUUUUUCUCUGCUAUUAUAUUUUUUUAAAUUUAGUUGCUUCUGAAUUUGACUGGAUUUAUAUGCCUAUGAGCAGAUUUCCCAUUUUCUACCAAUUGGCUUGCCAUUUCCCAAGCAAAUUUAACAAAUUAGUCAUGGAAAUAUUUCCCCAAGCCUUACUUCAGUUUUUUAAAAACACAUGUGUUUUAAUUUCCACCAAAUAUUAGCAAGCUAACUUUACAAUAGGAACUAGGAUACAAAUAAAAAUGACAAGCUUGUUUUUAUAUAUUAACUAUAGGAAAUUCUCCAGCAAAAGGAAAAUUAUGAAUAAUAUUUUUAAUUUAAAAAUAAGUCAACUCUAACAGUUCAUUCAUUUAAUGAAUACUUACUGAGUUCCUUCUGUGUGGCAGGCACUGAUCUGGGUUUGGGGGAUACAGCAAUGAACAGAAAAGAAAAAUUAUGGUGCUUGCAUUCAAGUGUAAUAUUCCAC
rnacentral:lncRNA from 1 species